UUGAACGCUGGCGGCAGGCCUAACACAUGCAAGUCGAACGGUAACAGGAAGCAGCUUGCUGCUUCGCUGACGAGUGGCGGACGGGUGAGUAAUGUCUGGGAAGCUGCCUGAUGGAGGGGGAUAACUACUGGAAACGGUAGCUAAUACCGCAUAAUGUCGCAAGACCAAAGAGGGGGACCUUCGGGCCUCUUGCCAUCGGAUGUGCCCAGAUGGGAUUAGCUUGUUGGUGGGGUAACGGCUCACCAAGGCGACGAUCCCUAGCUGGUCUGAGAGGAUGACCAGCCACACUAGAACUGAGACACGGUCCAGACUCCUACGGGACGCAGCAGUGGGGAAUAUUGCACAAUGGGCGCAAGCCUGAUGCAGCCAUGCCGCGUGUAUGAAGAAGGCCUUCGGGUUGUAAAGUACUUUCAGCGGGGAGGAAGGGAGUAACGUUAAUACCUUUGCUAAUUGACGUUACCCGCAGAAGAAGCACCGGCUAACUCCGUG
rnacentral:rRNA from 1 species